rnacentral:misc_RNA from 1 species
UCUCCGUUGGUGAACCAGCGGAGGGAUCAUUACUGAGUGUUACAACUCCAAACCCUUUGUGAAUCUACCUCUCGUGCCUCGGCGGCGGGCGCCUCGCGCGCCGCCGGGGGACCGAAGCACCUGAAUUUGCAAGUGGCAUUUCUCUGAGUGGCGCAAGCAAAUCAAUCAAAACUUUCAACAACGGAUCUCUUGGUUCUG